rnacentral:rRNA from 1 species
GCAGUCGACGCUUCUUUUUCACCGGAGCUUGCUCCCCGGAAAAAGAGGAGUGGCGAACGGGUGAGUAACACGUGGGUAACCUGCCCAUCAGAAGGGGAUAACACUUGGAAACAGGUGCUAAUACCGUAUAACAAUCAAAACCGCAUGGUUUUGAUUUGAAAGGCGCUUUCGGGUGUCGCUGAUGGAUGGACCCGCGGUGCAUUAGCUAGUUGGUGAGGUAACGGCUCACCAAGGCCACGAUGCAUAGCCGACCUGAGAGGGUGAUCGGCCACAUUGGGACUGAGACACGGCCCAAACUCCUACGGGAGGCAGCAGUAGGGAAUCUUCGGCAAUGGACGAAAGUCUGACCGAGCAACGCCGCGUGAGUGAAGAAGGUUUUCGGAUCGUAAAACUCUGUUGUUAGAGAAGAACAAGGAUGAGAGUAACUGUUCAUCCCUUGACGGUAUCUAACCAGAAAGCCACGGCUAACUACGUGCCAGCAGCCGCGGUAAUACGUAGGUGGCAAGCGUUGUCCGGAUUUAUUGGGCGUAAAGCGAGCGCAGGCGGUUUCUUAAGUCUGAUGUGAAAGCCCCCGGCUCAACCGGGGAGGGUCAUUGGAAACUGGGAGACUUGAGUGCAGAAGAGGAGAGUGGAAUUCCAUGUGUAGCGGUGAAAUGCGUAGAUAUAUGGAGGAACCCAGUGGCGAGGCGGCUCUAUGGUCUGUAACUGACGCUGAGCUCGAAGCGUGGGAGCAACAGGAU